UACGAAGGGGGCUAGCGUUGUUCGGAUUUACUGGGCGUAAAGCGCACGUAGGCGGAUCUUUAAGUCAGAGGUGAAAUCCCAAGGCUCAACCUUGGAACUGCCUUUGAUACUGGGGAUCUUGAGUCCGGGAGAGGUGAGUGGAACUGCGAGUGUAGAGGUGAAAUUCGUAGAUAUUCGCAAGAACACCAGUGGCGAAGGCGGCUCACUGGCCCGGUACUGACGCUGAGGUGCGAAAACGUGGGGAGCAAACAGG
rnacentral:rRNA from 1 species